UACGUAGGGUGCAAGCGUUAUCCGGAAUUACUGGGCGUAAAGCGUGCGCAGGCGGUGAUGUAAGACAGGUGUGAAAUCCCCGGGCUUAACCUGGGAACUGCAUUUGUGACUGCAUCGCUGGAGUGCGGCAGAGGGGGAUGGAAUUCCGCGUGUAGCAGUGAAAUGCGUAGAUAUGCGGAGGAACACCGAUGGCGAAGGCAAUCCCCUGGGCCUGCACUGACGCUCAUGCACGAAAGCGUGGGGAGCAAACAGG
rnacentral:rRNA from 1 species